CAGAGUGUGACGCCACGUCGCGGGAACCGAGAGACGAAGCUGAAGUUAACAAAUCGGGGCAGCUUCUUCGCAAAUAAGAUGAGCCCUCGCCAUUUAGAAUUCAGAGCCUCCAUGCCCAGAUCCUCAGCAGAAGAAAUCAUGAAGUCCUCGAAAACAUUCUGGUAGACUGUUGCGGUGACCUUGGAUUUAAGAAUGCAGUUUACCAACACCUGCACUGGACAUUGCACCCCAAACCAUGACUGACUGUGGAUAUUUCACACUGGACCUCUAGGAGCUUGGGUUCUGUUCUUCACCCAUCUUCCUCCAAACCGUUGGACCUUGAUUCCCGAAUGAAAGGCACACUUUAG